GUGGGGAAUAUUGGACAAUGGGCGAAAGCCUGAUCCAGCCAUGCCGCGUGUGUGAAGAAGGUCUUCGGAUUGUAAAGCACUUUAAGUUGGGAGGAAGGGCAGUAAGUUAAUACCUUGCUGUUUUGACGUUACCAACAGAAUAAGCACCGGCUAACUUCGUGCCAGCAGCCGCGGUAAUACGAAGGGUGCAAGCGUUAAUCGGAAUUACUGGGCGUAAAGCGCGCGUAGGUGGUUUUGUAAGUUGGAGGUGAAAUCCCCGGGCUCAAACUGGGAACUGACUCCAAAACUGAAUGACUAGAGUACGGUAGAGGGUAGUGGAAUUUCCUGUGUAGCGGUGAAAUGCGUAGAUAUAGGAAGGAACACCAGUGGCGAAGGCGACUACCUGGACUGAUACUGACACUGAGGUGCGAAAGCGUGGGGAGCAAACAGGAUUAGAUACCCGAGUAGUCC
rnacentral:rRNA from 1 species